CCCUUAGAUGCUCUGGGCCGCACGCGCGCUACACUGGUCGAUGCAACGAGUUUCUUUCCUUGGCCGACAGGCCUGGGCAAUCUUUGAACAUCGAUCGUGAUCGGGAUAGAUUCUUGUAAUUUUUGAUCUUAAACGAGGAAUUCCUAGUAAACGCAAGUCAUCAGCUUGCAUUGAUUACGUCCCUGCCCUUUGUACACACCGCCCGUCGCACCUACCGAUUGAAUGGUCCGGUGAAAUCCUCGGAUCGAGCCGUGGGGCAACUCCGGUUCGAGAAGUUGAUUAAACCUUACCAUUUAGAGGAAGGUGAAGUCGUANCA
rnacentral:rRNA from 1 species